CGGCCACGGUACCCUAACCGUGCGAAGGUAGCAUAAUCACUUGUUCUUUAAAUGGGGACUUGUAUCAACGGCAUCACGAGGGUUCUACUGUCUCCUUUCUCUAAUCAGUGAAACUAAUCUCCCCGUGAAGAAGCGGGGAUACCACCAUAAGACGAGAAGACCCCAUGGAGCUUUAAACCCAACUACACCCCUACUUUCCAUAUCCACUCAACCAACAGGGCCCUGUACGCUUGGUUUUAGGUUGGGGUGACCACGGAGUAAAAUUAAACCUCCACGAUGAACGGGAAUACCCUCUUAUCUAAG
rnacentral:rRNA from 1 species